rnacentral:siRNA from 1 species
UGAUCGAUGAAUGCUACCUGGUUG